AAAUUCUCAGGCUGGAUGCUUUUUUCCUUUGGAAAAAUACAUCUCAGCUGGUUUUGGGCUUUGCCGUGAUCCUUUAUUGGGGAACGGCUGGCCUCAAAUGUAUUAGCUGACCCUCACUAGGAAUUGGUUCUACUCAGCAUGAUAAUAAAUGUGAUUGCUGAGGACAUCUUUCGGGGUGGCCAAGUUCUGUUCGGGGGUUGCUUCUAAUCUUGGAUUGCAGAUUUCUUGAAUUUGCUCCACUCAAUCACAG
rnacentral:misc_RNA from 1 species